UGAACUUGUACCUAAAUUCCUGUUACAUACUUGUUGAUCACGGGUAACCUUUUACACACCCAACCUUUUAAAAGUAUGUCAAAUACACACUACUUUUUUCUUGACCAAUUUUACAAAACAUGUGUGAUUUCACGCUCCAAUCAGAUAGUGACACGUGUCACUAUUUUUAUUUAAAAAAUAAAAUACUUAAAAUUACUCCUAUACCCCUUAACUUUCUUCUCCAUUUCAUAUCUUUCUCUUCUCCAUGGGAGAUUGACGCCAGACACCACCAAAAAUCCACAUUUAAUCACCUUCAUAUUAUAAAGCAAAAUUAGAAACUCAAGCACAUUAAUCACGAGUUUGUGAGUCUUGAUUCAAAUCUGACACAAGAAAUAUAAUUCAAAACUCAAAACUCCAUUAAAGUUGGUUAUAG
rnacentral:lncRNA from 1 species